UGGGGAAUAUUGGACAAUGGAGGGAACCCUGAUCCAGCCAUGCCGCGUGUGUGAAGAAGGCCUUAUGGUUGUAAAGCACUUUAAGCGAGGAGGAGGGUACUGGUAUUAAUACUACCAGGUACUGGACGUUACUCGCAGAAUAAGCACCGGCUAACUCUGUGCCAGCAGCCGCGGUAAUACAGAGGGUGCGAGCGUUAAUCGGAUUUACUGGGCGUAAAGCGUGCGUAGGCGGCUAAUUGAGUCGGAUGUGAAAUCCCCGAGCUUAACUUGGGAAUUGCAUUCGAUACUGGUUAGCUAGAGUGUGGGAGAGGAUGGUAGAAUUCCAGGUGUAGCGGUGAAAUGCGUAGAGAUCUGGAGGAAUACCGAUGGCGAAGGCAGCCAUCUGGCCUAACACUGACGCUGAGGUACGAAAGCAUGGGGAGCAAACAGG
rnacentral:rRNA from 1 species